GCACCCGUAGCUCAACUGGAUAGAGUAUCUGACUACGGAUCAGAAGGUUGCAGGUUCGAAUCUUGCCGGGUGCGCCA
rnacentral:tRNA from 5 species